UUGUAACUGUGUUGGUAUAUUUGUGUUUUCUUCUAGUCAAUCUCCUGGAUUCAAAAACAAUUCAAGGGGAGCUGGGCUGGAUCUCUUAUCCGUCACAUGGGGGGGAAGGUAAGAGGGGGAAGAGGAGAAGGGAAAGAAGAUGAUGAAAGGGAAAGGAACAUAAUUCAGUACUUAAUUUCUACUGUGACAAGUUUUACUCCUUUUUAAAAGUUGGAUUUUGUUUUGGCCACUGCUGACUCCAACG
rnacentral:lncRNA from 1 species